rnacentral:rRNA from 1 species
AUUGAACGCUGGCGGCAUGCCUUACACAUGCAAGUCGAACGGCAGCAUGGAGAGCUUGCUCUCUGAUGGCGAGUGGCGAACGGGUGAGUAAAGCAUCGGAACGUACCGUGUAGUGGGGGAUAACGUAGCGAAAGUUACGCUAAUACCGCAUACGACCUGAGGGUGAAAGCAGGGGAUCGCAAGACCUUGCGUUAUACGAGCGGCCGAUGUCAGAUUAGCUAGUUGGUGAGGUAAAGGCUCACCAAGGCGACGAUCUGUAGCGGGUCUGAGAGGACGAUCCGCCACACUGGGACUGGGACACGGCCCAGACUCCGACGGGAGGCAGCAGUGGGGAAUUUUGGACAAUGGGGGCAACCCUGCUCCAGCCAUGCCGCGUGAGUGAAGAAGGCCUUCGGUUUGUAAAGCUCUUUCGGCCGGGAAGAAAUCGCACAGGCUAAUACCCUGUGUGGAUGACGGUACCGGCAUAAGAAGCACCGGCUAACUACGUGCCAGCCGCCGCCGUAACAC